UACGAAGGACCCGAGCGUUAUCCGGAUUCAUUGGGUUUAAAGGGUGCGUAGGUGGGUUGGUAAGUCAGUGGUGAAAUCCCCGAGCUUAACUUGGGAACUGCCAUUGAUACUAUUAAUCUUGAAUACCGUGGAGGUUAGCGGAAUAUGUCAUGUAGCGGUGAAAUGCUUAGAUAUGACAUAGAACACCAAUUGCGAAGGCAGCUGGCUACACGAAUAUUGACACUGAUGCACGAAAGCGUGGGGAUCAAACAGG
rnacentral:rRNA from 1 species